rnacentral:rRNA from 1 species
GACAGAGGAUGCAAGCGUUAUCCGGAAUGAUUGGGCGUAAAGCGUCUGUAGGUGGCUUUUUAAGUCCGCCGUCAAAAUCCCAGGGCUCAACCCCUGGACAGGCGGUGGAAACUACCAAGCUGGAGUACGGUAGGGGGCAGAGGGAAUUUCCGGUGGAGCGGUGAAAAUGCGUAGAGAUCGGAAAGAACACCAACGGCGAAAGCACUCUGCUGGGCCGACACUGACACUGAGAGACGAAAGCUAGGGGAGCGAAUGGG